AGAUGUCGAGCUUUGUCAAUCUCCGUCUGCUGAUCAGGAGGACGACUUCUGAAGCUUCUGAGAAAAGCACCUGAUCAGCAGAUGUCGAGCUUCUGUCAAUCCUCCGUCUGCUGAUCAGGAGAUGCUCCAGAAGUGGUGAAGAUGCUGAUCGGAAGAUGUUAUUAGUAUUGUGGCUGCGCUCCAUCAUCCCCAGAGGGCAGCGUUUCCUGAGAGAUCCAAAUUCUCCCCGAUAAUCCUGUCCCUCUCCGAAGCCAUUGGUCAACAGUUAAUUUGUGUUUCCAUUAAUAAAGAUUGUCUUUAUCCCUUCUUA